GAAUGUGUAUAUUGCAGGAAAGCUAGAUUUUGCAAAUUACUUGAGAGAGAAAGAUUUAGGACUUCCUUGCUUUCCUGUGGUGAGCCAUGCAGAAUUACCAAGCCACUGUUCAUGUUAGCAGAGACAGAAUCUCUUUGGGUGCAAAGAUGACCUUCAAGAAUACAUCACUCACACUGUAUUAUGCACUGGUUCUGGUUAUAACCAAGAAAAGCUAUGAAGCUAUAUAGUAUUUAAUCUUGUGGUUAAUGCUUAUAUUGCUUCUCAUGCUCUACUGAAAAAUUCUCCUGCAUUUCUCCCAAGAAAUUGCAUUAAAAAGAAUCUGUGGGGAGAUUUGUUAUGUUUUUGUUGCACUUACCUUCAAGGUGGCCUAGAGUUGUUUGUGAGUGUGCUUUAUAUCACUCUACAAAUCAUCUCCCCAGUAGUCUGUGCUCUGCAGCCUUCCUGGGUGCCCUUCCUGACAACGCCAUGACAUCAUCAGCUGGGCUUUUCUUAAGGUGUGGGAAGGUGAGGAGGUUGCCCACUGUGCACCUGACAACUGGUUUUUUUAAAGUGAAGUCUUUGUACUUUUAAAGAAAUCAGUGUGGAAAGGUUAAAAAGGAAAUAUAUCUCUUAGAAAUAAAAUCUGUAAGCACAGCAGUCUCGGGUACUCAGUAAUAGUUUUCCUAGGUUUCCCAUGCUUCAAUUAAAACCCAGAAAUAAGUCAUGAAGUACCGUAUUUUUUGCUCUAUAAGACUCACUUUUUCCCUCCUAAAAAGUAAGGGGAAAUGUGUGUGCUUCUUAUGGAGCAAAUGCAGGCUGUGCAGCUAUCCCAGAAGCCAGAACAGCAAAGGGGAUUGCUACUUUCAUUGCUCAGGGAUCCCUCUUGCUAUUUUGGCUUCUGAAAUUCAAAAUAUUUUUUUUCUUGUUUUCCUCCUCCAAAAACUAGGUGUGUCUUGUGGUCUGGUGCAUCUUAUAGAGCGAAAAAUACGGUAGUUUCUCCCAUGGGGCUCUUUCAGAAGCACAGGCAGCUAGGGAGGCUGCAGAAGCACCGAGAAGUGUUUAUUGGAAUGAAAAGCUCCCAUACCACCCAAGGGUGUCUCAAUUCUACAGCUACCAGAAUUCUGAAGAAGUGUUCAAGUGUCCUGAGAAUGAGGCAGAUAAACCUGCAACCUCUUUCACAGAGGGAGAAAUAGGCAAACAGGUUUUGAUACAGUGCUAGUUCCUUCUAUUGCUUUUAUUCAUCGUUAAGUCCAGGAGUCCUCUAUUUUCUCCUGCAAAAAAACCAGUCACCUGGGCUGUUUUGGAGAGCUCUUAUCAGUCCAGAACGAUGAGUACAGGGCCAGAUUAUACCAGCUCAUUAUAAAGCAGCUCCAUAUGUCUAUAUGUAGGUUGUUUGAAACCAAACAUCACAGCACAUGCUGCUUACAGCUCUUAGUGUCAAGCUAAGCUUGCUGGAUACUUGUCUUGCCAUUUCCAAGGCAAACUGAAUUCUAUGUAGAAUCACUGAGUUGGAAAGGACCUCAAAGGCCAUCCAGGCCAACCCUCUGCCAGUGCAUCCCUCAAGGCUGUCCAGAACUUCCACUCCACACGCUCCACCAUAUGAAAUUGGUUUCUCAUCACAGACAAUCUUUUUUUGCAACCAGUUGCUUCCCAGCCUCCAGCCCACUAAGUACUGGGGAUCCUGCCAUGCAUUUCAACAUCUGUAAACUGCUGGAUGUUCUCGGUGCUCUCUGGAGAUGUGGUAAUAGGGGAGAUGACGUGUUUCAGACGCAGGAGCAUGGUGAAAAGUAGAAUGAGUAGGAUGGCCAGUAGGGUCAGAAACAACCCUACAUACAUAUACAAGUUGGAGUAUUUAUCUGCAUUUGCCACUCCUGUAGCCAGGGUUGGGGGUGGGUGGGCACGACCAGUAAGAUUUCCACGGAAUCUGAAAUAGACCUCAGUCAUUUCUUACUCAGGCCUUUUCCAUUUUCUCUGUUCACUCAUGAAUUCCUUACUUCUUCUUUGAUAGUGUUUUAAAGAUUAGAUUAGGAGGUAAUUCAUGCAUCAAUAUUGGAUGGGCUGAAGUCUUUGCCUUGUAUAGAGGAAUAGUUCUCAUCAGAGGGUCAUCUUCUCACAUGGCUUUGCCUAAGGAAAUGGCAGAAUCAAUCAAAGGUUCCUUCUGGGUGGUGGUUUUUUUCUACUUUUAAAAAAACCUUCCUGGCUGAAAAAUAUUUGUGUUCUCUUCAGUAAGGAAUAAACGUCUCAAUGGAGUUUGGGGGGUAAGGAUCUCCUACCAACAGUGUCACCCAAUGGCUCACAGAUCCAUGAGUUACCUUGCAAAAGUCUGCUUUGGUUACUUUUGGAAGCAGACUCCUGUCUUCACUAGAAGGCAAACAUCAGUGACUAUAUUCAGAAGAACUAGAGUCUGGUGUUUUUCCACUUCCCACCUUCAGAUGACCAAAAUGACAGCAGUACCAGUAGCCAACAUGAUAUUUCUAUAAAGAUAUAAAAAGACAGAGAAAGAGACUAUAUUAUUAAGCAAACUUUCACAUAAUCUUUUUGAUUGUAGAGAAUCUCUUGGUAAUAAAAGGAAAGUUACUGCGCUGCCAAAAUCUGUACUCGCAGUUUCUCAUAAGUUCUCUUCCUCUGCAAAUAAGGCUUCAAUUUAUCUGCUUCAUUCUCACAGUAAUUUUUAAAUUCCUUUAGAACUUCCUUCAGCCUUGGGUUUUGAGCUUUCCUUAUCACUGCAAUGUGGCCAAAGGCUAAAUAUUUGUCCAGUUCUCUGCAGGUUCCCAUGCUGUCCACAGUUCCUGAUCUGAGAAAAAUGUCUAGGAGGAGUUUUCUCAGGGUUUUUUUCCCAUGAGCUUUGACUGAAGCAUGAGCACCCUAGGAAAGCCUGUUUAGUGCAGACAAAAGGAGGGAUGAUUUGCAGAAUGAAAGGGUUGCAUCCAACCAAGUUCUCAGAGUAGGCCUGCUGAAUUUAAUGUCCUUAAUUUAGCAGUUUCCAUUAACUUCAAUGGUCUACUCAACCCAAAUUAAUGGCACUUGCAUGCACCUCUCAGCCACCUCAGCAAUAACAGAAGCACACCCAAAACCCUAUACCCAGUCCAUUAAAAUUUUACUGAUUCCCACCCCCACCCUGUUGGAUGCAAUUUCUUCUCCCAUUAAUUGGUGGAAGAUCAGGGGCAAGGUUUAUUGUUCACUUUUUCUUUUAAAGGUAAAGGGACCCCUGACCAUUAGGUCCAGUCGUGGCUGACUCUGGGGUUGCGGCGCUCAUCUCGUUUUAUCGGCCGAGGGAGCUGGCGUUCUGGGUCAUGUGGCCAGCAUGACAAAGCCUCUUCUGGCGAACCAGAGCAGCGCACGGAAACGCUGUUUACCUUCCCGCCGGAGCGGUACCUAUUUAUCUACUUGCACUUUGACAUGCUUUCGAACUGCUAGGUUGGCAGGAGCAGGGACCGAGCAACGGGAGCUCACCCUGUCGCAGGGAUUCGAACCACCGACCUUCUGAUCGGCAAGUCCUAGGCUCUGUGGUUUAACCCACAGCGCCACCUGCAUCCCUCUUUUUCUUUUGCACUGCACUAAUUAAAAGAUAUAGGUUGGCUGGCCAGAUUCCAGUUCACACUUGAAAAUGAGCACAUGUAGGAGGGAUGGGAUCACACCCAUUGUCCUUGCUCUUGCACUCUUAUGUGUAUUCAUCACACAUAUAAACUGUUCUGUGUGUAGGCUCCAUACAAAUGGUCUAUUCCCCCUGUCAUACCGACGGAACCCAUGGAUGUACAAUCUGUACAUGUAUAAGCUUUCCCAGAUGUUUUUAUGAAUGUCUGUCGGAAGCAGGAGCAAAGAUGUGCUACCGAGGAGUUCAGCCUUGCCAUCGUUUUAAAAAUGCUCUUGAAGGUUAAGCCCAGACUUGGGACACAAAGAACAAAGUUAUAGUUUGAACUUGUGACCCUCCUUAGCGCAUAAACCAGGAGUAAGUCUUGGCAGUAAUACAUGAGAACUCCUGUACGUAAUAGUACUUUGAUUAUUUGCCUGGUCUAAGUCAUCCAAAGCACAAUCUUAAUUACCUAAUCUAGCCCUGCCAGAGAAAACUCCAUUUGCCUUAUUUAACACACUGUUAAACACAUUCUAUACGCACGGAGUCAGCCAUCAGCAUCCUUAAGCAUUCUUCAAGGUGUGGCUCCUACAGCUCAGGUAGAGAGUACUAUGCUGUGUCUACUCUCUGAGAUCUAGCAGUGUACUAGAUAUCUAAGGACUUGCAUAGAUAAUUGAAUUACUGUCUAGCACAUGCACGUUAAAAUGGCAUAAAUAAGUGUACCCAUUUAAAUAUGGUGAUCAGACAUCACACAGAAGUUAAGUAGAGAUAGCAAACGGGCUCUGCAACAAAAGUUUGUAGUAUUGCUCCCUAACAGGAGCGUGCUUGAGUCCUUUUCAGAGUUGCAGCCAGCCAUGCCUUUCUCCAUCAUACCCCAACUGUGAUGGGCUCAAGCCAGCUCAUUCACAUUCCUCUACACCUUAGCUGCCACUGAAAAUGGUUAGUUGACAUUAGGUGGUUGUUGUUGUUGUUUUUUCAGUACUUCUGCAAACUUCAAGGUUCCCUUGAGCAUCCUGGUGUCUCCCUCUUGUUUCUCCUUACUAGCAAAGGGGUACCGAGUUUACUAUUGGAGGAAGCAAUUGGAUCCUAUUGAAUAUCAUGACAUGGGUUGCAAUAUGGAGAGGUUAAAUGUGAUUGCAAGGUUCAGGUGUUUUUGUACAUUAUAAGCACAUAUAUCAAUAGAGUAAGUAAGGUAAAUACAUUGGUAAGCAUAGGUAAGAGCCAGUGUGAUGUACUGGUUAAAGGGUUAAACUAGGGCCAGGGUUCAAAUUUCCACUUAGCCAUGAAACUCACUGGGUGAUCUUGGGCCAGCCACUGCCUCUCAGACUCACCUACCUCACAGGGUUGGUGUGGGAAUUAAAUGGGGGGGGGAGAGAACCACCUUGAGCUCUUUGGAGAAAAAGGUGGCAUAUAAAUGCAAUUAAUAAAAAAAAGAAAUUAGAGGAACUAAGAUGAGAGGGAGGGGAUGAGUUUGGAAUGCUGAUAGUGAGCAGUGAUUGGUUGGGAGUUUUGAAAGGGAGUUUGAAUACUAGUCUGAGAGGGUUUGGAGUCGAGUUGAGAGUUGAGUUGACAACGGAGUUGCAUUUGGGGGUGGGUGGUAGACUGUGUGAGAGUUGGUGGCGGAUGUGAAGCAGGGUUAGUCAUCUAAUAUAGUAUCAGUAUUAUAGUAGCUACUGUUGUAUAUAAAAUAAAGCAACAAAUAAGAUAAACAGAUUGAAACUAUGUGCUUAGGUACAAUCCUCAAUCGCACAGCCAUUGUUUAUGAUUCCUCUUCCAUAAAUUAAUUGCUUUAUACCACAUGCCUCAUACUUUGCUAACAUUAGGGGAAUUAUUAUUAUUAUUAUUAUUAUACCCCACCCACUUAUUCAGAUAAAUAUAAUUUGGGGUGGAAGCAGGUUAUAGAGUUACCCAUAAGAAACACAGCUCAGAGCCAUACGUCUUGUUAAGAGCGAGAAGUGGUACAGGGUAGUUUUGGGUGGUGGCAGAGCACCCCCUGGCAGAGGAGGGUGUGUGGCAUGACAGUGGUGACAGCCACCUCUCUUGUCUUCUGCAGCUCUUUCUGCUGUAAAAGGCAGAGUUCACAUCAAAUCCUAACAGACCAUUUUUGGUAAUGAAAUAAUAUGCGUCACAGAUGUUACUUCUGAAAAUUAGGUGGCAUUAUGCUAAAGUUAUUAACCUGAAGUUCAUGUGUAAUAAUCAAUUACGAAACAAGAGCCCCAAAUUAAUGAGCCUCUACAAGGCACUUCUAAUAAAUGGAAGAGAUUAAGGAGUGGAGAUAAUUCAAUGAGGCUGGGAGUUUAGCAUGGAUGCCUGUGGUUCGUUUUAUGCUCCAGUCUUAAGAGUAGUUGCUCAGUUCCUUGCAAGGGAAGAAUCUGAUUUGCUCACAAAACUAUGUGUGUGCAUGGACUUCCUGCCUUGUCUUCUGUGUCAGGGAAUGCUCUGUGAUGAGGGCAAGAGGGAAUCUUCAUGCAGAACACCUCCUGACUUGUAGAAGAUUAUAAGGAAUGCCACAGGGGAGGCUUUGCACAUACGGAUCAAAUAAAUUAUGGGGGAGUCAAAUCGAUUUGAAUGAAUAGACCCAGCUGAAAAGUCUGUGCAUGCUUCCUUGCACAAGGGCUUCCUUGUUUUCUUUUGCCGAAGAGCCCAUUUCUUUGCGUACAAUAGAGUUUCUUUUUGUGAACAGUAAAGUUCUUGUAGGGAGCAUGGUAGGGCUACAGAUAAACCCACGCUGCAAAUGUUCUUUUCUGCAGAGGAAUCAACUAGAUCAGAAGGGCCAGGGACAGAAUUCAUAAGGGUGCUGGAUCCAUCUGUUAAGAGUUUGGGUGUAAUCCUUGACGCUUCCCUUUCCAUGGAGGCACAGGUUACAGCAAGAGCUAAGGCGACAUGUUUCCAUCUUUGCCGCAUCAAGCAGUUGGUCCCUUAGCUUUCCCGCCCCGACCUGGCCACAGUGAUCCAUGCGACGGUCACCUCCAGGCUUGCCUACUGUAAUUCGCUCUACGUGGGGCUGCCCUUGAAACUGUCCCAGAAACUCCAGCGGGUGCAGAAUGCUGCAGCGAGGCUCCUCACAGGGUCUCUGCCAUGGGAGCAUAUUCACCCAGUGCUUUUCCAGCUGCACUGGCUCCCGGUGGAGUAUAGGGUCAGGUUCAAGGUGCUGGUCUUGACCUUUAAAGCCCUUUGUGGCUUAGGGCCCUCAUAUUUACGGGGCCACCUCUCCUGGUAUGCCCCGCAGAGGACCUUAAGGUCCAUGAAUAACCAUAAUUUAGAGGUCCUGGGCCCUAAGGAAGUCAGACUAUCCUCCACCAGGGCCAGGGCCUUUUCAGUGAUGGCUCCGACCUGGUGGAAUGCUCUGUCCCAUGAGACUAGGGCCCUUCAGGAUUUAACCUCCUUCCGUCGGGCCUGUAAGACAGAGCUAUUCCGCCCAGCCUUUAAUUUGAACUCAGCCUGAUCUUUUAUUUCCCUUCUCUUCCCUCCCGCUCCCCUUUUAUGAAGAUUACCCGCUCUGAGACCCCACAGCUAAUUCUCCCCUGGCCUCCUCACUGGCCCAAGUAGGACCAAUUCAGCCAGCUAGCCCUGGGGAUGAUCUAAUGCUUAUUUCCCCUAAACUGAUUUCUAAAUUUUUAAUUUUAUUGUUAUUCAUGUUUUUAUACUGUAUUUUAUACUGCUUUUACAAUUAAGUGUUUUAAAUUUGUUGUUAGGGGCCCUGAGCCCAGUUUUUGAACCGGGAAGGGUGGGGUAUAAAUAAAAAAAUUAUUAUUAUUAUUAUCCAGACCCUGUCACCAAUCCUGAGCCAGAGGCAGAGUCUGUUAACCAGAAGUGCCUUGACCCACAGACACUCGCCUUGGAACCCCCCUGAGCCAGAUCUCCCAAGGACAGUAUAGCCAAAUGUCCUACUUUGCAUGAGGAGUGAGGAGUCCAAGUGUUGUUGGACUCCAAGUCCCAUCAUGCUUGACCAUUGGUCAUUCUGGGGCUGAUGGGAGUAUUUAUUUAUUUAUUUAUUUACUUAUUGUUUCCGUUUAUAGACCAUUUGCUACCAGAAGAUCUUGAAGUAGUUUAUGGUGAAUAAAACACACACACAUUCUAGCAGUCCCAGUGUUGAACUCGGAAGAGAUCCAGGUUCAGAUCCUCACUCAGUUAUGAAUCUCACUGGGUAACCUUGGGCCAGCGACCUUCUCUCAGUUUAAUUAACCUCAUGGGCUUGUGAGGAUAAAAGAGGAAGAACCAUGAAUACUACUACAACAUGACACCUUUAUCCCAUAUUCGAAGAUUUGUAGAUCUUUCCGCAAAAGUACUCCUCAGUUAAGCAACUCACUGGAUGCCUAACUCUAUAGUGAGAAUGCAGAACCUGCAACCCUCCAGCUGUUGCUAGAUUCCAACUCCCAUCAUCCCCAAAUGUUGGCCACACUGGCUGGGGCUGAAGGGAGUUGGAGGCUUCCUUCAACAUCUUCUGGAGGGUGGCAGGUUGUCCACAACUCUAAAAAGCUUUAAAAGAUCACAAUUUCCUGUGCUCCUGAGCUAAUUGCCCCUAAGUGCCCCUACAUACAAAUGAAGAGGGGAGAUAUGAUUCCUGCAUUGCAGGGUGCUGUACUAGAUAACCCUUGGAGUCCCUUCCAACUCUACAAUUCAAUUUAUUUAUCCACAGCUCUAGAGAUUGAAUAACAAGACUCUUCUUGUUAGCUAAGCAACUGCAGUAAACAUCUUUCUUGCGGUUACAAACAAGUCAGCCUAUCCUGUCUUAUUUUCACCAAGCACAAACAAAUUAACCAUCUUUUUAAAAGGAUCACUUUUAGCAUUUUAGGUUAUCUCAGAUUGGGAUGAUUUUUAGAGUGGACAGCAUAGUAUUAUUGUGAAUAUUUGUGGGGCUAGAAAUUAAGUCGGUACUGCUUGCAGAAAAAGUUAGUCAAAACACUCUGCUGCUGUAGCAUUUAGUGCGUUUUUGAAGGCCGCCUGUUCCCAAAACAAGCUGUCUGGGCUUAAUCUGACUAGUGAAAUCAAUACUUUUGCUUAGCUCAUUUGUAGCACACAUAAUCUCUUUACUUCCCCCUGAAAAAGCACAGACACCAAGAAAAUUGAUACCUUAAUGCAUGCUUUUUAAAAGAAAAAGAAAAGGCACCAUCAAUUGGAAGUACUAGCUUUCCUUUUUUGGUGGCAGAUAGUCUAUUUUCUCCUUUCAUAUCAAAUGCAUAAAAUAGCACAUUCUUCUAACUAAGCCUUGGCACAGAGAUAAAAACAGUUGGAUUUUGACAAGUGCAGCCAAUUACCUUUCAUCGUAAGCAGGAGCAGAGGAGUGACCCCUCAAGACACCUCCUUGGUAGGUGUACCCUAGACUGCUUUCUGCAAGGUGUCCUGGAAGCAUCCCCUCUAAGAUGCAGGUGCUUUGGAAGAAAAAGAGACCAGCUGUUGUUUUGUCGCUUGAGCUGGAAGACUAGGCUUUCCAAGGAGAAAGUACACUUUCCUCUCGUCUCUUUUACACGCCAGGGUUUUGCAUUGCGACAGGCAGAGGGGCGCUGCUUAAUUCCUUAGACACUAGUUGAUGGUCCUGCUCUCACUGUGCUGCUGAUGGUUUUCCUGCACGGAUGAGACAGAUCCAUAUAUCUUCUGGAUGGCUGAACCACAGCAGCCUCCGUCAACCGUCUCUCUCGCUCUCGCUCUCCUCCUUUUGCUUCUAUAGGCAACAGACACAGUAAGCUGGGAAAGGUAUCUCUCCAAGCGCAGCUAUGCUUCAUCAGUAGGGAGAGAGAGAGGUGGAAAAAAAAGAAAGCUGCCAACAACACCAGUAGCAAAGUUUCUAUAAGCCUUUUUUAAUUCCUUCCAUGCUGCAGGCUGGUCCUUUUCCCUCUAGGCAACCAGCCACAAAGCAGAGGCUUAGAUUUGAAGGCAAUGAUCACUCCCUCAUUAUGAUUUCUUUUAUAAAAACAAAACAAAAAAGAGGUUUUAAAAAAACAUUUUGUAGGAUUGAAAGCAUUCUUUUUAAAUAUAUAGUCAAACAAGGCAUGCAAAUCAAGAUGUUUUUCAGGGUUCCACCCCCACCCCCCAGGGCUUUGAAAACCUUCAAAAUAAAGUAAGUGCAAUACAUCACAGCCAAUGAUAUUCGUGCCAUAUAACUUGCAAGUUUCCUCCCCUUCUGUUUGUAUGCAGACACAUUUGACAGAAUGAAAUCCUGGUUGCUUUCAGGUGUAGAGCCAUUUUCAGCUUCGGGGUUCCCAGUUCGCUGCUAUAGCAUGCAACUGGGUCAAUAGGAAACACCCUGGGGAAACAUUAACAGACCAAAAAUGCCCACUACAUGUAGACACCUAACUGGACACAACCCAUUGGCCUGGUUUUGGGGAGGGGAGUUCAGAAAAGACUGGCCCAAGGUAUUUUGCUGCAUGAGAGAAGGGGAAACAAGUAGGGCAUGGUGGCUCUGGGAGUUGGCAACGGACCCUGGCAGGACCCUCUGCAGGAGCCCAAUGAUGCUGACCAUCAAUUGGAGGAUGCAGGAGACAGACAAGGAGAGGAAGGGAGGAAUUAUCCUUGAAUGUUCUGAAAUGACAUUACAUAUACAUGCAGAUGGGUUACUAUGGGAAAUGAAAAAUCCAAGGAUUGCAUUUGAUAAAAGGCCAUAGCUCAGAGGCCAGAGCAUCUGCUCUGCAUGCAGAAAGACCCUGCUGUCAUUCACUAUGGACAAUACAGGGCUAGGCAGACCAAGAGUCUGACUCCAUUUGUUCCUAUGAAAUACAACAUGGUAUCCCCUCCCAUUCUAUGUGCAAAAUCGAACCAGACUGGCACUAGAAUCUUAUUUCAACACUGGCAAAAUGUGAUAAUGAUAUCCUACAUCACAACUGAGCGCAGCAGGCUAGCGGUAGCUUAGGGGACUCAGGAAGAAUGGUUAGGGGCUGCUGCCACUUCUAGCAUCUAUUGCCUGAGGUAGGUGCCUCAUCUUGCCUAAGAGUAGGACCAGACCUGCUUUCAGAAGUAAGUGACUGGUACAGGCUCAGCCCAAACGUCCUGCAGAGAGCAGGCACACCAAAGCACUGUGUGAUGUCCUACGUAAGAGACUCGUUGCUCCCAGUUUUAUUGGGAACUAGUUGAGAUUUGGGUGGUAUCAUGAUGCCUGAGGUAUUCUUGUUAACAUGC